UACGAAGGGGGCUAGCGUUGUUCGGAAUCACUGGGCGUAAAGCGCACGUAGGCGGAUCUUUAAGUCAGAGGUGAAAUCCCAAGGCUCAACCUUGGAACUGCCUUUGAUACUGAAGAUCUUGAGUUCGGGAGAGGUGAGUGGAACUGCGAGUGUAGAGGUGAAAUUCGUAGAUAUUCGCAAGAACACCAGUGGCGAAGGCGGCUCACUGGCCCGAUACUGACGCUGAGGCACGAAAGCGUGGGGAGCAAACAGG
rnacentral:rRNA from 1 species